AACACGGAACACGAAACGUACACAUCACAAACAUUAAAUAUAUAUAAGAGCUUUCUUUUUUCUCUUUCGAUCGUUUCUUAUUAAACCUGUUUUUUUUUUUUUUUUUUUUGUUUAGCAUAUUUUUUUUUUUUUUUCAAACUUGUUUUUUUAUCAAUCCGCCUUAUCCCUUUAUACAAUGAUCUGGAAAAAUAUCACAUGAAGGUUUUAUAGUGGCAUAGAAAAUUAUGGUAACAAAAAAACAUAUGGUAAGAUAAAAAAAAAAAAAAAAAACAUAUAAUGAUAUUUUUGGCUAAAUUUUUAUUAUUACGAACGUAUGUGUUAUUCAUUAUAUGGAAGCUAAUAUUAUUUUUUGCUGAUGAUGUUCAUUCAACUGUACUUAAGCGUUGGCAUAAAACAUUAAGCCCAGUUAAUCAUGACAACGCGAGUAACAUAUACAGCUUAAUGCAUUUAGAUAAACAAUAUGAUUGCUUAUUUGAAAAAAAAAAAAAUAAAAUAAAAAAUGCUUUAUACUUUUAUAAGCAAAAAAACAAUGCUCCCAAUGUACGUAACACGUUUUUUUCAAAUUUUAACAAAAAACACUUUUUUAUAAGACCCAAAUAUCUUAAGAUUUUGAAUAAUAAUAUAUAUGGUGAUCUUAAUAAAGUGAGUGAUAAAAAUGCAAGUCAUUUAAUACAUAGAAAUAGAUUAAAACACGAAAACACACACGAUGUUAGUAUUUCCGAAGUUACUAAUAAAACCAAUAUAAACAGCUAUCACGAUUAUGGCGAUAUAAAGGUUGUUGAGGGUGAAGACUCGGUUUCGCAAGACGGUAGUAGUGGUGGUAGUGUAAGUAGCAGUGACGGUAGCGGUAGUCGCGUAAACGAUGAAGACAAGAUCGAAGAAACAAUCGAUAAGUACGAACUUGUGAACGAACAUAUACUGAUAAAAAAGGACAGUAAAAGCAUAAAAGAUUUGAUGGAAGAACGUAUAUGGGUGUUUCCCGAAGAAAAUAUAAAAAUGAUAAGAGAAAGAACAGAACAAAAGUUAAAUUGGAAUUAUAUUUUAAAAAAAAAUAAUCUUUUAUUAAAUGAUAACGUUAAUAAAAUAUAUGAAGGAAUAUAUAAAAAAAAUAAUAUUGAUGAUAUUUUUUUUAUUUUUGAGACUUAUCCUUAUAAUUAUUUAAAUAUUACUAUGAGCGUUUUUUCUUUAUAUAAAAUUGCUACUAGCUUUUUAAAUGAGCAAAAAACAAAAAUGAAUCAAAAAUGGAAGAAUAAAAAUGAGAGUGAAAAAUAUUUUUUUAUAAAUGAACAAGGCGAUGAGAGUGAGAACGGUUUAUCAGUGCAUGAUAAUCAACCACUUAUUAAAAAAAUAAUUAACGAAGAAGCUAACAAUAAAACAAACGAAACAGAUGACAUGUUUAUCGUCGAUAAUACAGAUAAAGAAACAUAUAACAUUCAUUUAUUUAAAAUCAAAGAAGAAAGAAAAAGACUUAGUUAUAUAACUAAUAAUCGAAAUUUCAAAAGAAUAAUUGGUUCUAUUUAUAAACAUUUAAAAAUUAUAUAUAAAACAUUCACGACUAAUUAUAAAUUAACAGCUUAUGAAAAAAAUAAAAAUAUAUAUAACUAUAUUCCAUAUAUUAAUAUAAUAGAUAUUAUUACUAUUUUAAAAUCUUUUUGUAUAUUAAAAUAUGAUCAUACGCAUAUAUAUAAAUAUAUAUAUUUUUUUAUUGUUUUUUUUAUUAACAAGUUUGACAUUGAAUAUUUAACUGAGGUUGUUUAUUUGUGUAUUAUAAAACAAAUUUAUAUUAAGCCUCUGUUUGAAAAUUAUACUAAGAGAAUGCUUUUGUAUUUUCAAGAAGAAAAUGAUAAAGUGGAAAAACAUGAUGACCAUGUGGAAGGAAUAAUACGAAGUGAUGAUUGUUCAAAUCAAAAAGACCAGCAAAAUAAGUCAAGUCCUGACGACGCAAAUUUGUUUUCAUCUAUUCAGACUGAUAACAAAACUCUGGUAAAUAAAAAGGAAAAGGAACAGAAUCAUAUAGCAGGACUACACGAAGCAAAUGCUUAUAAUAACAUAACUUCUUUAUACGAAGAAAUAGAUAUAAACGUUAUAGAUAAGAAUAUAGGAAAGAUGCUUAGUGAAUACGGUGAUGAUUACACUAUUACUGCUACUACUACUACUGCUAAUGCUACUGCCACUACUACUGCCACUACUACUACUACUACUGCUACUACCACUGCUAAUGCUACUGCCACUACUACUACCACUACUACUACUACUACUGCUACUACCACUGCUACUCCCACCACAGAUGCCAAUUGCGAACAAACGUUUUUUUAUAUGCGUCCUUUUAACUAUUCCAUUUAUCAUUCAGCAAAUUAUUCAAAUUUAAAUUAUAGUGUUGAUG
rnacentral:lncRNA from 1 species